GCCUCGGUGGUGUAGUGGUAGAGCAAGCGUCCCAGGAUAGGAUGAAACGCGGGCUCGAUUCCUGCCAGAGGCC